ACGGCCGCAUCACAUUGAAGCAUCAAUUCCCGUACGAUCCCCGAAAUUAAGCAACGUCGAGCCUGGUCAGUAUCUAGAUGGGUAACCGCUUGGUAAUACCAGGUGGUGUAAG